rnacentral:rRNA from 1 species
UACGAAGGGUGCAAACGUUGCUCGGAAUCAUUGGGCGUAAAGCGCACGUAGGCGGCUCUGCAAGUCGGAUGUGAAAUCCCUCGGCUCAACCGAGGACGUGCAUCCGAAACUGCGGAGCUUGAGUAUGGAAGAGGGUCGCGGAAUCCCCGGUGUAGAGGUGAAAUUCGUAGAUAUUCGCAAGAACACCAGUGGCGAAGGCGGCUCACUGGCCCGAUACUGACGCUGAGGCACGAAAGCGUGGGGAGCAAACAGG